CGGAGCUGGGACGAGAAGCCACGUCCUCUUACUCCCAAGCCCGGGCUCUUACCACGAGCCACGCUGUUUCUCGAGCGAAAGAACUUGGAACGGCAGGCCCGGGCUCUAACCAUUGAGCCACACUGCUUCUCCUGCUACUCACGCUGGUGGUCCACAUGGAGACGGCGUAGGCUCCCGCCUCCAUCUGGUUGAGUCGCUUUGUCUCCUCUAGCCGUUGCCCGUACCUGCGGGCUUCACCCUCCUCGUUGGCAAAGCUGCGCACCGUGGCCAUGGCGGACAGUGCCUCCACCGCCACCCGGCUCGACUCGGCCAGCGACGUCUGCACCUGCGCCGCCAGGCCCUGAGGACAAGGGGUCGGAGCAUUAUUAUAGAGAAGGAGCAUGGCU